UGAAGAAACAACGAACAAAGAAAAAC
rnacentral:piRNA from 1 species